AUUGAACGCUGGCGGCAGGCUUAACACAUGCAAGUCGAGCGAGAGGCGGACGGGUGAGUAAUGUCUGGGAAACUGCCUGAUGGAGGGGGAUAACUACUGGAAACGGUAGCUAAUACCGCAUACCAGCAGUUGUGCCCAUAUGGGAUAAGCUAGUCGGUGGGGUAAUGGCUCACCAAGGCGACGAUCCCUAGCUGGUCUUAGAGGAUGACCAGCCACACUGGAACGUAGACACGGUCCAGACUCCUACGGAAGGCAGCAGUGGGGAAUAUUGCACAAUGGGCGAAAGCCUGAUGCAGCCAUGCCGCGUGUGUGAAGAAGGCCUUCGGGUUGUAAAGCACUUUCCGCGAUGAGGCGGUACUCACAGAGAAAGCACCGGCUAACUCCGUGCCAGCAGCCGCGGUAAUAC
rnacentral:rRNA from 1 species